CCUACGGGUGGCUGCAGUAGGGAAUAUUGCUCAAUGGGGGAAACCCUGAAGCAGCAACGCCGCGUGGAUGAUGAAGUAUUUCGGAUCGUAAACCCCUUUUAUCAGAAAAGACAAUGACGGUACCUAACGAAUAAGCACCGGCUAACUCCGUGCCAGCAGCCGCGGUAAUACGUAGGGGGCAAGCGUUACUCGGAUUCACUGGGCGUAAAGGGCGCGUAGGCGGGAGAGCAAGUCAGAAGUGAAAUCCUAUGGCUUAACCACAGAACUGCUUUUGAAACUGUUAAGCUAGAGUAUGGGAGAGGUAGGUGGAAUUCUUGGUGUAGGGGUAAAAUCCGUAGAGAUCAAGAGGAAUA
rnacentral:rRNA from 1 species